AUUGAACGCUGGCGGCAUGCCUUACACAUGCAAGUCGAACGGCAGCAUGAUCUAGCUUGCUAGAUUGAUGGCGAGUGGCGAACGGGUGAGUAAUACAUCGGAACGUGCCCUGUAGUGGGGGAUAACUAGUCGAAAGAUUAGCUAAUACCGCAUACGACCUGAGGGUGAAAGUGGGGGACCGCAAGGCCUCAUGCUAUAGGAGCGGCCGAUGUCUGAUUAGCUAGUUGGUGAGGUAAAGGCUCACCAAGGCGACGAUCAGUAGCUGGUCUGAGAGGACGAUCAGCCACACUGGGACUGAGACACGGCCCAGACUCCUACGGGAGGCAGCAGUGGGGAAUUUUGGUCAAUGGGCGAAAGCCUGAUCCAGCAAUGCCGCGUGUGUGAAGAAGGCCUUCGGGUUGUAAAGCACUUUUGUCCGGAAAGAAAUGGCUCUGGUUAAUACCUGGGGUCGAUGACGGUACCGGAAGAAUAAGGACCGGCUAACUACGUG
rnacentral:rRNA from 1 species